UACGGAGGGUGCGAGCAUUAAUCGGAUUUAUUGGGCGUAAAGGGCGCGUAGGCGGUAUUUUAAGUCGGAUGUGAAAGCCCGGGGCUCAACCUCGGAACGGCAUCUGAAACUGAAGUACUAGAGGGUAGGCGGAGAAAACGGAAUUCCACAAGUAGCGGUGAAAUGCGUAGAUAUGUGGAAGAACACCGGUGGCGAAGGCGGUUUUCUAGCUUACUCCUGACGCUGAGGCGCGAAAGCUAGGGGAGCAAACAGG
rnacentral:rRNA from 1 species